rnacentral:rRNA from 1 species
AGGACGAGCGCUGGCGGCGCGCUUAACACAUGCAAGUCGAACGUGAAGCCCGGGCUUGCCCGGGUGGAAAGUGGCGAACGGGUGCGUAACACGUGAGGAACGUGCCCCGAAGACCGGGAUAACUCGAGGAAACUCGUGCUAAUACCGGAUGUCCUCACCGGAUCGCAUGGUCUGGUGAGGAAAUGGAUUCCGCUUCGGGAUCGCCUCGCGGCCUAUCAGCUUGUUGGUGGGGUAACGGCCUACCAAGGCGACGACGGGUAGCUGGUCUGAGAGGAUGUCCAGCCACACUGGGACUGAGACACGGCCCAGACUCCUACGGAGGCAGCAGUGGGGAAUCUUGCACAAUGGGCGAAAGCCUGAUGCAGCGACGCCGCGUGCGGGAUGAAGGCCCUCGGGUCGUAAACCGCUUUCAGCAGGGACGAUAGUGACGGUACCUGCAGAAGAAGCCCGGCAACUACGUGCCAGCAGCCGC